ensembl:snoRNA
UGCAGCCUUGUCAAACGCAGUGCUCUCUUCCUCAGUGACCCAAAUAGCUGUCACAGAAGCGCCUGUAAUUCAUGCCACCUCUGUCUAGAGAUGGGGGAUAAAAAUCUUCUACAGACACCC